GUCGUGAUAAUAAAACAAAAAAAAUCUCUCGGGUUGAUAAAUAGGGCUAACUACCACAGUCUUAUCAGUCGGCAGGCAGAGAGAAAAAAAGACCUCAGUAACCACGGCAACCGCAGCACACAUUGUGGUCAAUGCGGUCUGAACACACACACACGUUGGACUCAAGACAUUUCCAGUUCAUUAAGACGCUAAAUUACAAAAGAAGUCAUUAUUCAGUGACAGGUUUUUCUCAGAAAGACAGUAACAGGCACAGAGCGCUCUCUGCUUCUAUUGGUCGACAUCUUACACCUUGUCGUGAAAGUGCCGACUCAGUAACUGCAGAGUUCCAAACCUCCUCUGGCAUUCACAUCAACGCAAAACCCCGUGUGCCGUGAGCUUCAUGGCCGAGCAGCUGCAUGCAAGCCUUCCGUCACCAAGCACAAUGCCAACCUUAGUGGCCGACUCACAAAUGCUCUUCUGGAUUAAUGGGCAAAAUGUCCAACAGACAAACUCCAACAUCUUGUAGAAAGCUUUCCCAAAGGAGGACUAACUCCAUAGUAAUGCCUAUGGAUUAUCCAAUAGGAUGUCAGAAAAGCCCUGCUGUGAGCUGGAAGUAGAGAGUCGACCGGCUGCAGCUGCUCAUUCACAUGCAAACAGCAGCUCCUUUCUGAUCUG